GCUGAGGCCCAGCAGGGUUUUUGUCUGGGAAUAAUGAGUGAGGCGACUUGAAUAUGGAUGACUAACUUCAUUGAGCUGAGCUAUUGUUGGGGAGCUGGGCUGGGGGCAAUUAUGGUGAUGAAUGUUAUUAUCCUUCUCUUAGGGUACUGGGCCCUACUGGGUUUCUCCCAUCUAGUGCUAUAAUCUGGUUCAGUUUUAUAAUCUGGUCCCAUGUGUCAUCUCUUGGGGCGUUCGUGGAUUCAAAAGAAGACGGUUGUCCACACAUCUGGCGUUUUCCUCAAUUGUCCGGCCCCACCCUCACUCUGAACUUUGGUCCAAAACACGUACUUUGGGGCCCGUCCGUUAGACAGUUUGUUUUGUGAAAUUCUGCAAGCCGUUGCUUGCUGCCAACCCAUGUGUGCUUUUCCGGGACCAACUCACCCAGGAUUAAUCAUGCAGCGAAUGGAUUUCCCUGUGAUUUCCCCGAACUUCUUGCCAGUUUUGGAGGCCCUGAAAUCUUUGUGAGCUGCUAAGGAUUUGUUGCACUUGAGGUAUUUAAUAAAGGUCGGGUCUCUUUGAGACUUCGGGAGGAAGUCCUGUACAUAACAGGGGAGUACAAGACUCUAAUAGCAUCUAAUAUAGAAAAGCACAUGUUUAAAAAAUGUGUCCAGACAGGAGAAGGCUAAGUACAGACAUGGCCAAGAGGACUAACUCCUUCUCUCCACCGCUGUGAAUGAGCAGCCUGAGAGUGACUGUCCUAGGGAAUUAUAAAGACCUCCAACCUUAAGAGAGGAUGGCUGGAUCAGCAGGAAGGGUAUGGCCUGCCCUGCAUUUCUAUCCCCCCCCCCCGUCAUGUGCUAGGAAUGUCACCAACUACCUCAUUUAAUCCGUUACAUCUCCUGUAAACUGUACAUUACCUCAGAAUAUGCCAGAAUUGGGGAUUCAGAAAUGGGUCUGAUGCCAAACCUCAAACUCUUUUUACAACACUACUCUGCCAUUACAAAAAAAAAGUUGAACUUGAAACUAAAAAUGAGCCUCACCUUAAGCCUCUUAAACAUGAAAGCAAAAAUUUUCUAAGGAUAUCAUAACUGUACAUUACAUACCACGCUAUCCCUUUAUGAGUGGAAUUCUUGAAUUCAUUCUGCACAGGGGUACAUUGCUGGGUGCAGGAUUUGAACUCUGCUGCUUUGGGGAGGAGAUAUUAGCCCAGAGCGUGCUUUGCAGUCUUCACGAAAUCACAGACCUGCGCUCUGAAUUCCACUGGCUUAUCUGAAUAUUUGUCAUAUUUCUGGCUUUGGAGAGCCAGGCAGCCAGGUUACAACUUGUGAAAGUAUUGCAGGGGAGUGCCGGGAGGGAGCGGGAACUCAAGGACACUAUGCUGCUCUUGUGAAGCUCACUUAGUGAGUCUGACAGAGGCCCCUUCCUCUCCACGGAAGCCUUGCCAUUCCUGCUACUCCGGAGCCUCUCAAGGAAACCGACAGCAUGAGCCUUUACUUGGAAGAGCAUCAGAUGGUUAGGGGUGCAGGGGUCCUUCUAAAGCCAAGUGUACGGUUACUGAGAUUUGUCAGGAUUCUGCUGGGUAGGCAGGAGAUAAAGC
rnacentral:lncRNA from 1 species